GACGAACGCUGGCGGCGCGCCUAACACAUGCAAGUCGAGCGAUGAAAUUUUAACCGAUCUCUUCGGAGAGAAGAUAAAAUGGAUUAGCGGCGGACGGGUGAGUAACACGUGAGAAACCUGCCUUUCACAAGGGGAUAGCCUCGGGAAACCGGGAUUAAUACCCUAUGACACAUUUCCUUCGCAUGGAAGAAAUGUUAAAACUCCGGUGGUGAAAGAUGGUCUCGCGCCUGAUUAGCUAGUUGGUGGGGUAACGGCCCACCAAGGCCAUGAUCAGUAACCGGCCUGAGAGGGUGAACGGUCACAUUGGAACUGAGACACGGUCCAAACUCCUACGAGAGGCAGCAGUGGGGAAUAUUGCACAAUGGAGGAAACUCUGAUGCAGCGACGCCGCGUGAGCGAUGAAGGCUUUCGAGUCGUAAAGCUCUGUCCUAUGGGAAGAUAAUGACGGUACCAUAGGAGGAAGCCCCGGCUAACUACGUG
rnacentral:rRNA from 1 species